AUGGACCGUAGUCAGGGGAGGGUCGAACCUUCGACGGAGGUAGCAACCAGACGACGAGGAGAGGGCCGAAGGUCGAAACGGGCCGCCAAUGGACGAGCUGACACCGGAAAUCCAGCCGCCGCCCCAGUCGACCCGCCGAGCUGCCAUGGAGCCGGCACGGCAAAGCCACCUCGCCGCCGCCACCCACAGCCAGGACCGCAGCCACGCCGGGCCAGGGCCCCAAACCUGCGCAGCCGGCCAGAAAAAGGCAAAAUCCGGCCGGCACGCACCACCACCACCGCCACCAUGCCGACGAGGACGAGCGUAACAACCCCCGCGCGCCGCUGGCAGGCCCAAGCCGCCGCAGCCCAUGCCGCCCGCGAAGAAGCGGCCGGAGGAUCCACCACCGUCCAGAUCAGAUCUGGGAAACCCUCGCCGCCACUCCGAGCGCACCCACCACCGCAUCCAAGCACGCCAGCCCCCAAGCACCAUGCCCCGCAAGGCCCAGCAGCCCUCCACGCCACCACCCUCAGCCGCCGCCGUCGCCUUGGCUGCUGGUGCCGCGCCGUCGUGCCCCGCCAAGCGCCACACAUCAGCUCGAGGGGGGCAUCCCCGCGUCAGACCACCUCGAGGGAUGGGAGACCAGGCCCCGCCGCCGCCUACGCCGACCGGGCUUUGCCCGGCGGCGCGCUCCAGCGGCAGCAAGGGGAAGAGGAGGGGAGAGGACGGCUAGCGGCGGCGCAGACGGGAAUCGCCCGUCCGCUCGCGGGAGCAGGAUGGGCGAGCCGCUCAGUUUCCUUUUCUUUGACAGCAAAUAAACUUUAUUUCUCAGAUGAUGGACAAGUCGUUUACAAAAGCAUGAGAAAUAAAGUCGGGGAUAGAAUCUUCCCAAAGAUGAGAAGAUCUACUAUGGGUAGAAUGCUUUGCUAA
rnacentral:rRNA from 1 species